rnacentral:sRNA from 1 species
CAGGAGUCAGGGGACAUCAGGGUCUAAGGGACCAAAAGCGUGUGCGACUUACUGAAGUGCAAGAUGAUAAAGAGGAGGAGGAGGAGGAGGAGAAUCCACUGCUGGUACCACUGGAGGAAAAGGCAGUACUGCAGGAGGAACAAGCCAACCUGUGGUUCUCAAAGGUAAGGAGAGGCUGGGGGCAAGACUGCAGGGAGAUGAGUCUUCCUUGGGAGAAGGGCAGCUGAUGUUCUCCCAUCACAGGGCAGCUUUGCUGGGAUCGAGGACGAUGCCGAUGAGGCCCUGGAGAUCAGUCAGGCCCAGCUGUUAUUUGAGAGCCAGCGGAAGGGACGGCAGCAGCAGCUGCCACAGACACUGCCUUCCUGUUUGAAGACUGAGAUAAUGUCUCCCCUGUACCAAGAUGAAGCCCCUAAGGGAACAGAGGCUUCUUCAGGGACAGAAGCUGCCACUGGCCUUAAAGGGGAAGAAAAGGAUGGCAUCUCAGACAGUGAUAGCAGUAGUAGCAGUGAGGAAGAAGAGAGCUGGGAACCCGUCCGUGGUAAGAAGCGAAGCCGUGGGCCUAAGUCAGAUGAUGACGGGUUUGAGAUAGUGCCUAUUGAGGACCCAGGUGAGAGCGCUGUAUGCAGUGGAAUGAGAAAAGACCACUGGAAGUCUCAGUAUUGGGAAUUGAGCUUUGACCUUUCUCCUUCCCUCUCUAGCAAAACAUCGGAUACUGGACCCCGAAGGCCUUGCUCUAGGUGCUGUUAUUGCCUCUUCCAAAAAGGCCAAGAGAGACCUCAUAGAUAACUCCUUCAACCGAUACACAUUUAAUGAGGAUGAGGGGGAGCUUCCGGAGUGGUUUGUGCAAGAGGAAAAGCAGCACCGGAUACGACAGUUGCCUAUUGGUAAGAAGGAGAUGGAGCAUUACCGGAAACGCUGGCGGGAAAUCAAUGCACGUCCCAUCAAGAAGGUGGCUGAGGCUAAGGCUAGAAAGAAAAG